AGUUCCAGCCAGCGGGGCCUGAACCAGGGCAGCAAGCGGUUCGGCAGGCGCUUCUUAAACUCGUGCAGAGUGCAGAGUUCCAGGGCGCAAUAGUGGAUGUUGCAGUUCAUGCACUUGUUGCACGAACAGAUAGCAAAAGUGCCGCUCCAAGCAGUUGUCCCGCUUCAGAGUGAAGAAACUUUUGGGACAUUGCGUGAUGUCGUCGCUGCCCUCUCGGCACGGAUGGACCUUCUCAAGGUCCCUGCAAGAAGAGAUCAUCAAAAGUAUCAUAAAAUAUACCACCAACGAUGUGCGGCCAACUUACAUGGCCCGGCAGUGGUGCCAGAUGACGAAUAGCAGCACAGAUGUCUGUAGCAGAAGUCUGACCAGACGGAACUGCACGUGGUUCUGCAUUUUCAGUUAUCUCCUCUCCAACACCGGCAUAGAUUAAUUGAAUUAUCAAUCGGACCAUGGUCAGCCAGUCGUGACCGCUGUGGGUCAAUGGCGCAUCCUUCCCGACAUGGAAGGCCGCGAAGGCGGUUGCCUCUCAGACUGACAGCCUCAAUAAUUAAUACGAUGCGGAGGUCAAGAGUAAUUAAAUCAAAUGAAAUCUCAUUU